AAGAGUUAAGCAUUGUUAGAUGCAUUCAGUUUCGACCUGGUCCAAGUUUUUAACAACUCUU
rnacentral:tRNA from 1 species